UCAAAAACCGAAGCAUGGUCAAGUGCCCCUAGCCUCACUUUUAUGACGCCAAAUGUGCCUCUCGGCGUCAAAUAUCGAAGCACUACGACCUUCAUUGCUUUCAAUGGGAAACUUUUGGCGUCAGAAUUCGACACGAGGACAUGAGAUGUUUAUCGCUAUGAAAUCACGUUCAAGAAGUCUCAUUCAGCACACAUCGCGAUACUUGCUAUCAGUGACAGUUCCACAGUUUGGCUGAAAAGACAUAAAGGCAGUCAGCCCAGUGGUGUUUCUGGAGAGGGAUUCCUUCAGAAAUGGAGAAGACAGAAAGCUGCGGAGGCAGAUAUUUGCAGCAGAUUGUUUGAGGAUAACGCUGUAGCUCCAUCAUGCACAAGGACUCACCUCGUUUACUCUUUAUCACCCACACACACAGAAAUGGUCCCUGGAUCAGUGAUUAGACUUUGCAGUGGUUUGAUUUUUGCAGAAGAUGUAACUUUGUUUUAAUUAUAAGCUCAUAAUGAAUACAUUACAGAACCAGUGAUGAAAACAAUAGUUAAAAAAAGCGCUCCAUAUUAAAAAUAUGGUGUUUUCAUGGUGUUUUUUUGUGAGUUUGAAACAUUUACAUUGUGUUGUAUAACAUUUUGGUCACAACACUUUUUCCAGUGUUCUCUGAAAGACAUACUGUAUUUACUGUUUUGUUUUUUAAUAAAAGCAUUUUCAUUUGCAUACUGAAAAUAGUUCAUGUUUACAACAUAACUGCCUUUUUAUUCUUUAUGGUGGCAAAAACGAGCUUGGUGACAGAGGAUGCAGUGUAGUAAUUUGGGCAUGUUGUCUUUAAAUGAGUUUGACAUAUAAAUAAAUAAUGGAAGAUCCUUACAAAAAUAUGCAUGUUUAUUAUGCUUUAUGUAUUUAUUUGUUCAUUCAUUCAUUCAUUUAUAAUUUCAGUUUUUAUUCCUAGAGUUCAAAUGGUAGAGAAUGGUAAAUCACAGAAACACAAAUGUGAACAAUUUUAACUUUAAAACACAAUGUAAUAUACAAUGUA